rnacentral:tRNA from 1 species
AAGUUUAGGUUAACUCAAACCAAGAGCCUUCAAAGCCCUAAAUAGGGGCCUAACCCCUAACUCCUG